UACGUAGGGUGCAAGCGUUAUCCGGAAUUAUUGGGCGUAAAGAGCUCGUAGGCGGUUUGUCACGUCUGCUGUGAAAACUGGAGGCUCAACCUCCAGCCUGCAGUGGGUACGGGCAGACUAGAGUGCGGUAGGGGAGAUUGGAAUUCCUGGUGUAGCGGUGGAAUGCGCAGAUAUCAGAAGGAACACCGAUGGCGAAGGCAGAUCUCUGGGCCGUAACUGACGCUGAGGAGCGAAAGCAUGGGGAGCGAACAGG
rnacentral:rRNA from 1 species